rnacentral:misc_RNA from 1 species
UCAGUUGGCUGGGGUUCUGCCCCGCGAAGCCUCCAUCCUGUGAAAAACUUACCAUCGUUGCUUUGGCGGGCCGGGCUUCACGGCCCCGGCGGCUUUCGCUGCCGUGAGCCCGCCAGAGACCCCUCCAAACCCUUGCUUAACCGUACCGUCUGAUUACAAAAAACAAAAAGUCA